rnacentral:tRNA from 1 species
GCACCCGUAGCUCAGCUGGAUAGAGCGCUGCCCUCCGAAGGCACGGGCGAGAGGCUGGAACAGUCUCUGGUGGA